CUUCUUUCUUAGUGUUUAUUUAUUCAUUUACAUUUCAUGUAUUAAUAUUGUAAGCAAAAGUUAUGUAAGUGUUUUGUUAAAAAAAGCACUAAAGCAAUAAACAGUUAAAAAUAAAUAAAUAAAAGAUUGAAAUAUGUAGGUAAAUAAAUGCAUAACUACCAUUAAUCAAUCCUUAAGAGGAUAAUGGACUAAUAAAUACAUAAAAAAAAAUUAUAAUAAAUUGAUAAGAAAAUGUUAAAAUAAUAAUAAUAAAGACAAUAAAUGUCUAAUUCCUGUAAAGCAAGGUUUAAGAGGAUCUGAGAUGCUGAGAGUGUGGUGUGAUAUUCAGUCUGUGGGCUUGUGGUUGAUAAAGAAAGCUGCAGCAGAUCGUCGCACCCGCGUCUUGAAGAGCUGGUCGUAAACCUCCAGCAGCCGUGGAAGCUGAACUCCGAUCUCCUGCAUGGUGAAGGUGACGAAACCCACGUCCCAGUUCAGCCGGCACACCUCCUGCUCCAGAAACUUCACCAGGAAAUCUGAAGAGACCGAUCAUGAGCUACAUUUACACGGAUGUAAUCUACAAAACAGACCACAGGGACACGCUCUGGUACCUAAAGGGAAGUAUCGAGGUGUUCCGGCGUAUAUCUUCCCCAGAGACACCAGCUUGAGGCUCAGCGCUCUCAUGCGGUCCGCCGGACUCAUGGCCACACUGUCGCUCAGCUCUGAAACACAACAGCAGCCGUCAGUCACAUGACCCACAGCACAGGAAGAGGAAGUGCAGAGCAAGAGCGGUCACCCUUCUGGAUGAUCUCCUGCCACAGCGAGUGCACCAGGAUGGGGUCCGAAUGUCCCGCGCAGUGGAUGAUGGCCAGCUUACACUCCGACAGCCGGAAAUGAUCCGCGAACUCUCCGUACAGCUACAGACACACGACAGAGACAGGUUUCUGAAACACAUGGGAUCAGCAGCUGCUUUCACGGCAAGGCCUUCAUUUACCUUGGUGAUGUCCAUGAGCUCCGAGUCCAGCUGCGUGAUGGCUCCCUGCACCGAAGGAUGCUGGGAAUACUGUCUGCGGCCCCCAGCGAAGAGACGCAGGACGAGCUCUUGGCGGAGAGGAUGGCUCUGGAGAUGUACUCCAGACGCUGCUUCAGAGAGAUCUCCGUGCUGCACACACAACACAAACCCUUCUGACGACUCUUAAGGAUGCAUACAAGUAUCCAGGAACUUAAAUAUCUAAACGCAUGGUCAUGAGAACUAUUAUAAGCAUCGCACACCUGUGCAUGUCUGCCAGCCGCGCCAGAACGUGUGCCGCUUUCCCAAAGCUUCUGCUCUUCUCGUAGUAUCGCCACAGAAGGUCCAUGUUACGCACUUUACUCUGGUCCUGUUUGAUCAUGUGCAUCAGAUGAUCCUCGAGGUACGGAGAGUUCACCUGGAGCACAGGAGGAGACACACUAAACACCUCGAGCAGAGAGACUUCAGGCUGUGUGUGUAUGCCGUCAUUCGUACCUCCAGGAGUGUGUCGCUGAGGUCGGCCUGAAUGAGCCAGUUAUAGAGCGCGAUGUGGAAGAGCUCGUCUUGAGAUCUCUGAGCGAGACCCAGCAUCUGCUCGAACUGAGAGAAGAACCAGUCAGGAUCAGCGAUGACACGCCGAUGCGGAGAACCGAUGAAGAGCUAAUUAAGUAUUUUGAUGGAUAUCGCUUGUUUGUCAUGUUUG
rnacentral:lncRNA from 1 species